AACGCACAUUGCGCCCCUUGGUAUUCCAGGGGGCAUGCCUGUUCGAGCGUCAUUUGUACUCUCAAGCCUUGCUUGGUGUUGGGUGCUUGUCUUUGCUUUGCAAAGACUCACCUCAAAUAUAUUGGCAGCCGAUAAAUUGGUUUGAAGCGCAGCACAAUUGCAAUUUAAGCCCUUUUGUUAGCACCCAAGAGACAUUUUUACACUUUUGACCUCGAAUCAGGUAGGGAUACCCGCUGAACUUAA
rnacentral:misc_RNA from 1 species